CCUACGGGGUGCAGCAGUGGGGGAUAUUGCACAAUGGGGGGAACCCUGAUGCAGCGACGCCGCGUGGGUGAAGAAGCGCCUCGGCGCGUAAAGCCCUGUCAGCAGGGAAGAAAAUGACGGUACCUGAAGAAGAAGCCCCGGCUAACUACGUGCCAGCAGCCGCGGUAAUACGUAGGGGGCAAGCGUUAUCCGGCUUUACUGGGUGGAAAGGGGGCGCAGACGGCGAUGCAAGCCAGGAGUGAAAGCCCGGGGCCCAACCCCGGGACUGCUCUUGGAACGGCGUGGCUGGAGUGCAGGAGGGGCAGGCGGAAUUCCUGGUGUAGCGGUGAAAUGCGUAGAUAUCAGGAGGAACACCGGUGGCGAAGGCGGCCUGCUGGACUGCAACUGACGUUGAGGCCCGAAAGCGUGGGGAGCAAACAGGAUUAGAUACCCUGGUAGUC
rnacentral:rRNA from 1 species